rnacentral:misc_RNA from 1 species
GAUGAAGAACGUAGCGAAAUGCGAUAAGUAAUGUGAAUUGCAGAAUUCAGUGAAUCAUCGAAUCUUUGAACGCACAUUGCGCCCGCCAGUAUUCUGGCGGGCAUGCCUGUUCGAGCGUCAUUACAACCCUCAGGCCCCCGGGCCUGGCGUUGGGGAUCGGCGGAGCCCCCCGUGGGCACACGCCGUCCCCCAAAUACAGUGGCGGUCCCGCCGCAGCUUCCAUCGCGUAGUAGCUAACACCUCGCGACUGGAGAGCGGCGCGGCCACGCCGUAAAACACCCAACUCUUCUGAAGUUGACCUCGACUCAGGUAGGAAUACCCGCUGAACUUAAGCAUAUCAAUAAGCGGAGGA